CCUACGGGAGGCAGCAGUGAGGAAUAUUGGUCAAUGGGCGGAAGCCUGAACCAGCCAAGUAGCGUGCAGGAUGACGGCCCUACGGGUUGUAAACUGCUUUUAUACGGGAAUAACGCGCCUUACGUGUAGGGCUUUGCAUGUACCGUAUGAAUAAGGACCGGCUAAUUCCGUGCCAGCAGCCGCGGUAAUACGGAAGGUCCGGGCGUUAUCCGGAUUUAUUGGGUUUAAAGGGAGCGUAGGCCGCAUGUCAAGCGUGCUGUGAAAUGUCCGGGCUCAACCCGGGCCUGGCAGCGCGAACUGGCGUGCUUGAGUGCGCGGAAGGCAGGCGGAAUUCGUGGUGUAGCGGUGAAAGGCUUAGAUAUGGCGAAGAACCCCGAUUGCGAAGGCAGCUUGCUGCAGCGGAACUGACGCUGAUGCUCGAAAGCGCGGGUAUCGAACAGGAUUAGAUACCCCAGUAGUC
rnacentral:rRNA from 1 species